rnacentral:pre_miRNA from 1 species
UUAUUAUUAUGAUGAUGAUGAUGAUGAUGAUGAUGAUGAUGAUGAUGAUCAUCAUCAUCAUCAUCAUUAUUAACAUCAUUAUUAAGG